rnacentral:rRNA from 1 species
UACGUAGGGUGCAAGCGUUAAUCGGAAUUACUGGGCGUAAAGCGUGCGCAGGCGGCUUUGCAAGACAGUUGUGAAAUCCCCGGCUCAACCUGGGAAUUGCAUCUGUGACUGCAUCGCUAGAGUACGGUAGAGGGGGAUGGAAUUCCGCGUGUAGCAGUGAAAUGCGUAGAUAUGCGGAGGAACACCGAUGGCGAAGGCAAUCCCCUGGACCUGUACUGACGCUCAUGCACGAAAGCGUGG